rnacentral:rRNA from 1 species
CAAUAGCGUAUAUUAAAGCUGUUGCGGUUAAAAAGCUCGUAGUUGGACCUUGGGCCUGGACGGGCGGUCCGCCUCACGGCGUGUACUGUCUUGCCGGGCCUUUCCUCUUGGUGAUCUGUUGUUUCGGCAGCAGGGAACCAGGACCUUUACUUUGAAAAAAUUAGAGUGUUCAAAGCAGGCUCGACGCCGGAAUAUAUUAGCAUGGAAUAAUAAAAUAGGACGUGCGGUUCUAUUUUGUUGGUUUUUGGAAUCGCCGUAAUGAUUAAUAGGGACAGUCGGGGGCAUUAGUACUCACAUGCUAGAGGUGAAAUUCUUGGAUUUUGUGAAGACUAACUCCUGCGAAAGCAUUUGCCAAGGAUGUUUUCAUUAA